CAGGCGGAGGGCAACCAGAUGUCUUCAGCUCCAAGUCUGGCCUCUCCUCCCAGCAAGCAGCCAACUGCAGAGACCUUGGAAAGGAUCAACCAUAUACAAUGUCCAUUUCCUGCCCUCUAACCUGGCAGGGGAGCAAGGCCCAGCCAAGGAGGUAACAGAUUCCUCCAACACAAACCACACCUUCCUUCCCCACCCCCACCACCUCCACACCCAGCUGCCUCUGUGGGGACUUCAGGGGGAGAGUGCACACAGUGGGGCCUCAAAGGUUAUGUAGCUUGAAUAAAUGAUCCUCCAGGCCUGGGGAGCCUCUCCGCUCCCUCCCCCAUUUCCUCUGGGAAAGGAAUGUGGGGUGGGCCCCAGAGGGUGGUGGCGGAGGGGGCCCAGGGCUGGGAAAUACCAGG
ensembl:lncRNA novel transcript, antisense to ARHGAP23